GCGGGAGUGGUGCAGCUGGCUAGCACGCCACCGACAAACUACGGACCGGUUCUUCGCUAUGACGGGACUGCCGACAGCAAGACAUAAGGCCUAGCAUCUUCACAAGAAGAAGGCUGGAGACGCGAGUUCGAAUCUCGUCUCCCGCG